rnacentral:rRNA from 1 species
AGAGUUUGAUCAUGGCUCAGAAUCAACGCUGGCGGCGUGCCUAACACAUGCAAGUCGAACGCGAAAGGGGAGCAAUCCCUGAGUAGAGUGGCAAACGGGUGAGUAACACGUGGGUGACCUGCCUCAGAGUGGGGGAUAACGUCCCGAAAGGGACGCUAAUACCGCAUAACAUCCUGCCUUUGGAAAGGCGGAGAUCAAAGCCGGGGAUCGCAAGACCUGGCGCUUGGAGAGGGGCCCGCGUCUGAUUAGCUAGUUGGUAGGGUAAUGGCCUACCAAGGCAACGAUCAGUAUCCGGCCUGAGAGGGCGGACGGACACACUGGGACUGAGACACGGCCCAGACACCUACGGGAGGCAGCAGUGGGGAAUUGUUCGCAAUGGGCGCAAGCCUGACGACGCAACGCCGCGUGGAGGAUGAAGAUCUUCGGGUCGUAAACUCCUGUCGAGCGGGAAGAACACUUUCCGGGUGAACAAUCCGGGAGGCUGACGGUACCGCUAAAGGAAGCCCCGGCUAACUCCGUGCCAGCAGCCGCGGUAAUUC